AGCAAAUCUGUGGAAAAAAAAAAGAAAAGAAGAAAAAGAAAAAGAAAAAAAAAUUGGUCUCACAGAUCUAGAAAAAAAAAGAGUGAUCCACGAAAAUGUGAAGCAAAAAAUAGCCCGAAUAAGCUGUGGAAUACUACGUUAUCCCCUUGUUUGAACCAUGUGGGGAUGAAGUGUUGUCUAAAUAACGAUGAUCAUGAUGAAGAACCUUCCCAUGAGGCAAACAAAAAGAGCCUGAAAAAACCCGGAGAAGUUCAAGAGAACAAAAAUUCUGACAUUCACCCUGGCGAGACGAGCAGCGAGCAUGGCUUGAAAACUGAAGUGAAGAAGAUGGGAUAGAUAAUGCAUUUAUGCAAGAGAGAUCUGGGCUGUUGGAGGAAGAGAACAAGAAGCUUCAUGAUGGGCUCUUUGGUAAAGCUUGGAGAUCUCGAAGAAGCCAAGGCUUUGCUAGAUGACUUUACUUCUACGACUUCAGAGUGCCGAACAUACUGCUGAUGGGAUACUGUCAUAAGGGUCUCCCCGAUAAAUCCGAGGCUCGGUUUCGGGAUAUUACCAACAGGGGAUAAAUACUGACUUCCCUUCCCAAAAGCCAUCGAUCUUCUACAGCAUCUUCUUCUUCUUCUGGAGCACUCUAAUCAGCUGCUUGCAAUGAUUGUUGAGAACAAGAAGCCAAAAAAGAGUUGUGAAGCAGUUGAUCAUGCUAAGAGAUUGGAGGAGGAUUCAAUGAUUUUGCUUAAAGGGUUAUCAUGAUGUCAGCCAGCACUAGGGCAGAAAGUGGGGAGAAAAAAAGGAAAAAAAAUAGAAAAAGAAAAAAAAAGAGAUAGCAGAUCUGUGGAAAAAAAAAGAAAGAAAAAAUUGGUCUCACAGAUCUAGAAUAAAAAAUAGAGUGAUCCACGAAAAUGUGAAGCAAAAAAUAGCCCGAAUAAGCUGUGGAAUACUACGUUAUCCCCUUGUUUGAACCAUGUGGGGAUGAAGUGUUGUCUAAAUAACGAUGGUCAUGAUGAAGAAUCUUCCCAUGAGGCAAACAAAAAGAGCCUAAAAAAAACGGAGUAGUUCAAGAAAGCAAAAAUUCUGACAUUCACCAUGGCGAGACGAGCAGCGAGCAUGGCUUGAAAACUGAAGUGAAGAAGAUGGGAUAGAUAAUGCAUUUAUGCAAGAGAGAUCUGGGCUGUUGGAGGAAGAGAACAAGAAGCUUCAUGAUGGGCUCUUUGGUAAAGCUUGGAGAACUCGAAGAAGCCAAGUCCGUGGGAGAUGACUAGACUUCUACUUGCCACACAUAAAACUUCAGAGUGUCGAACGUACUCCUGAUUGGCUACUGUCAGAAGGUUCUCUCUGAUAAAUCUGAGGCUCGGCUACGGAAUAUUAGCAAAAGGGGAUAAAUACCGACUUCCCUUCCCAAAGGCCAUUGAUAUUCCACGGCUUCUUCUUCGUCGAUGUUUAGCCCUUCUUUCGAUAAGUGCUUCCAGAGCACUCUUAUCAGCCGCAUGACAUGAUUGUUGAGAACCAAAAGCCAAAAAAGAGUUGUGAAGCAGUUGAUCAUGCUAAGAGAUUGGAAGAGGAUUCAAUGAUUUUGCUUAAAGGGUUAUCAUGAUGUCAGCCAGCACUAGGGCCGAAAGUGGGGAGGAAAAAAGGAAAAAAAAAGAAGAAAAAAAGAGAUAGCAGAUCUGUGGAAAAAAAAGAAAAGAAAAAAUUGGUCUCACAGAUCUAGAAAAAAAAAUAGAGUGAUCCACGAAAAUGUGAAGCAAAAAAUAGCCCGAAUAAGCUGUGGAAUACUAUGUUAUCCCUUGUUUGAACCAUGCGGGGAUGAAGUGUUGUCUAAAUAACGAUGAUCAUGAUGAAGAAUCUUCCCAUGAGGCAAACAAAAAGAGCCUAAAAAACGGAGAAGUUCAAGAGUGCAAAAAUUCUGACAUUCACCAUGGCGAGACGAGCAGCGAGCAUGGAUUGAAAACUGAAGUGAAGAAGAUGGGAUAGAUAAUGCAUUUAUGCAAGAGAGAUCUGGGCUGUUAGAGGAAGAGAACAAGAAGCUUCAUGAUGGGCUCUUUGGUAAAGCUUGGAGAACUCGAAGAAGCCAAGUCAGUGGGAGAUGACUAGACUUCUACUUGCCACACAUACGACUUCAUAGUGUCGAACGUACUCCUGAUUGGAUACUGUCAGAAGGUUCUCUCUGAUAAACCUGAGGCUCGGCUACGGAAUAGCAAAAGGGGAUAAAUACCGACUUCCCUUCCCAAAUUCCGAUUUUCAUCAGGGCCAUUGAUAUUCCACGGUUUCUUCUUCGUCGAUGUUUAGCCCUUCUUUCGAUAAGUGCUUCCAGAGCACUCUUAUCAGCCGCAUGACAUGAUUGUUGAGAACCAAAAGCCAAAAAAGAGUUGUGAAGCAGUUGAUCAUGCUAAGAGAUUGGAGGAGGAUCCAAUGCUUUUGCUUAGAGGGAUAUCAUGCUGUCCAUUUGGACUCUUUAUGGUUUAUGGACUUGGUGCUGGUUGCAUUACCUGAGAUUAGGUUGAUCCAUUCAUGCUAGUUGUGCUAGUUAGGUUGAUCCAAUCCGUUAGACUUAUUGUAUUGGUGGCAGAAUAUUUAUUGAUCAUCUGCAACAAUGAAAGGCUGAUCCAUUCAUGCUAGUUGUGCUAGUUAUGUACAUUUGUUUGAGACCAUAAUGUGGGUGGGUGUCUUUGUGACUUAUGAUUAGAAUUUCCUUGUCAUAGUGAUGAUAAAGUUUUGAUAACGUAUUAUACAUGCCACUUAAUUCUAGAUAUAGGAUAUGUUACAUUUAUAUGUUCUUUUAGGUUUUUAAAAUUAUAAAUAAAUUAUUUUUGGCUUAAUUAUAUCGAUGUGAGCUUUUUACUGUGAGUUCUUUAUGAGACGGGAAAAUUCUUUGAAAAAAUCAGGAUCCUAUACAUUCUGAAAUUAUCUAGCUACUCUCAUCCUGUUACUGAUAUUCUUUGAUCUCUCGUUGAGAAUUUUCUAUUUUUAAUGCCAAAACGAAAAUGAAGACUGAGAUUUAUAGCACCGUUUAUGAGAAAUCAUUAUUGUUAUGGUCCAUCAAGUUUUGUGAAGUUUUAUGAGCAAGAUCUGAUUCUUAUGAUGUCAACCUGGAGGGUAUGAACACGAAAGGAUGAGGUCACCAAAUCUCUGACACCAGAAUAGGUUCAUGAUUUCAAAGAUCAAUAAUUACUCGUAUAUGAGUGUUUUACAGCUUGGUUUAAUAGCUAAACCAUCACACUUAUGACAUGUUUAUUUUCCCUCAUAUUUGGGCAAUUGACACAAGAGAUGCAUUGGGCUUGUUCAAAUGGCUUGUGAAACAGAUAAACUUGUCAUUUUCCUAGGGGAAAGACAAUAUGGGGCGGUCAGUAAGCAUCCUUGAUAUGGAUUUGAGUCAGUUAAGUUAUGCUGACGAGCGGCUCGAGCACCAUUUCGAUCAACAUCUCGUCAAACGUGAGCAAGAAAAUAUGAGGUAGAUGGAAAUGACUGGAAGAGGAUUUUGAAGUCAACCAAGAUUGUGUGGAUCCUUUUGAGAAGAUCAGACACCUAUUGGAUUCAUAUCAUUGCUGGAUAUAUUUUCAAAUCUUCCCAAAGCUACAUAUGUAACAUUUUCAGCUAAACAUCAGUACUAACCGGGAGAAAGAGGGUGUAACAUUCAGAAUUCGGCAUCAUGCCCGGGAGAUGAAGUAAGCCGGAUGAAAUGCUUGUCUUCUUCCUUUGUUCCAUGCUGUAGCUUUGUUUCUAAUAAAAUUUUUUUUAUCAACUUUAUUUGCCUAUUUCGGUUUGGUGCUAUGUUUAAGUUAAAUGUGAAAAAGAAAAGAGAGUGGAUAGAGGGAAUGAAAUGAGGAAGUUGGCUAUAAGAAUAAAAGUGAUUCAAACAAAGAAAGAAGAUAAAGAGCUGUUGGAGCAGACGAAAUCAGCCACCUCAAGAGUUGUUGCAAGGGACAAAGGGAGUUGAUAAUGAGGCUGACACAGUUCUAAAGAUGCAGGGGAUGAAGAGAAAACUGCCCAAUCUUGGACAUGCCUGAGAUCCUAUGGCAUGCAAAGCUGACCAGCACACAAGAAAUUGCUUGGGGAGUCAAACAAUGACCACAAAGGAAACAUAUGCAAGGAAUAAUUUGAGAAACGUUGGCCUUCAGUUUAAUCGCCUACCUCUAUCUGACUGCUAAAAGGUUUUGUGAAGUUUUAGGAGCAAGAUCUAAUUCUUAUGAUGUCAACCAGGAGAGGUCACCAAAUCUCUUGACACCUGAAUAGGCAAUUGACACAAGAGAUGCAUUGGCAAUGUUUAUUUAUGUAAGCUUGUUCUAAUGGCCUGUGGAGCAGAUAAACUUGUCACUUUCCUAGGGGAAAGAUAAUAUGGGGCGUUCAGUAAGCAUCCUUUAUAUGGGUUUGAGUCACUUAAGCUGUGCUGACCAGCGGCUCGAGCACCAUUUCAAUCAACAUUUCGUCAAAUAUGAGCAAGAAGUUUAAGUUAAAUGUGAAAAAGAAAAGAGAGUGGAUAGAGGGAAUGAAAUGAGGAAGUUGGCUAUAAGAAUAAAAGAGAUGCAAGCACAGAAAGAAGAUAAAGGCUUGUUGGAGCAGACGAAAUCAGCCACCUCAAGAGUUGUUGCAAGGGAGGAAAGGAGUUGAAAUAGGAGAGGAAUGGGGCUGACACAGUUCUGAAGAUGCAAGGGUAGAAUAGAAAACUUCCCAAUCUUAGACAUGCCUGAGAUCCAAUGACAUGCAAAGCUGACCAGCACACAAGGUAGGCUGAGGUGAAGAAGUGCUUAUGAAGUGAAUCUUUGAAGAUCCCAAACAUUGAUGAUGAACAAAAGAUUCAUAAUAUUAUGGUAAUUGUACUAGAGAAUUUGCUUGCAAAUCUAUUUUCCCUUAAUGUAAAGAGACAUAACAGAAUAUGGUCAGACUAGGUCAUUAGAUAAGAUAAGCAUAAUGUAUCGAGACAUAUAGAAUGUAUAGUGUAUGUAGUGUA